AGAGUUUGAUCCUGGCUCAGAUUGAACGCUGGCGGCAUGCUUUACACAUGCAAGUCGAACGGUAACGCGGGGGCAACCCUGGCGACGAGUGGCGAACGGGUGAGUAAUACAUCGGAACAUGUCCUGGAGUGGGGGAUAGCUCGGCGAAAGCCGGAUUAAUACCGCAUACGCUCUGAGGAGGAAAGCGGGGGACCCGUAAGGGCCUCGCGCUGCAGGAGUGGCCGAUGUCGGAUUAGCUAGUUGGUGAGGUAAAGGCUCACCAAGGCGACGAUCCGUAGCUGGUCUGAGAGGAUGAUCAGCCACACUGGGACUGAGACACGGCCCAGACUCCUACGGGAGGCAGCAGUGGGGAAUUUUGGACAAUGGGGGCAACCCUGAUCCAGCCAUGCCGCGUGAGUGAAGAAGGCCUUCGGGUUGUAAAGCUCUUUCGGACGGAACGAAACGGUUAGCGUGAAUAACGCUGACUAAUGACGGUACCGUAAGAAGAAGCACCGGCUAACUACGUGCCAGCAGCCGCGGUAAUACGUAGGGUGCGAGCGUUAAUCGGAAUUACUGGGCGUAAAGCGUGCGCAGGCGGUUCGCCAAGUCAGGUGUGAAAUCCCCGGGCUUAACCUGGGAAUUGCGCUUGAAACUAGCGGGCUUGAGUGUGGCAGAGGGGGGUGGAAUUCCACGUGUAGCAGUGAAAUGCGUAGAGAUGUGGAGGAACACCGAUGGCGAAGGCAGCCCCCUGGGUCAACACUGACGCUCAUGCACGAAAGCGNNNNNAGCAAACAGGAUUAGAUA
rnacentral:rRNA from 1 species